ensembl:misc_RNA Y_RNA Y RNA
GGCUCGUCCGAGUUCAAUAAUCUUUACAACUAAUGGAUCACAACUAGUUAUAGAUUUCAUUCUUCCUUCUCUACUCACACUGCUUCACUUGACUAGCCUUUA